rnacentral:rRNA from 1 species
CCUAUAACGUUGCCUCGGCGGGAACAGACGGCCCCGUAACACGGGCCGCCCCCGCCAGAGGACCCCCUAACUCUGUUUCUAUAAUGUUUCUUCUGAGUAAACAAGCAAAUAAAUUAAAACUUUCAACAACGGAUCUCUUGGCUCUGGCAUCGAUGAAGAACGCAGCGAAAUGCGAUAAGUAAUGUGAAUUGCAGAAUUCAGUGAAUCAUCGAAUCUUUGAACGCACAUUGCGCCCGCCAGUAUUCUGGCGGGCAUGCCUGUUCGAGCGUCAUUACAACCCUCAGGCCCCCGGGCCUGGCGUUGGGGAUCGGCGGAAGCCCCCUGCGGGCACAACGCCGUCCCCCAAAUACAGUGGCGGUCCCGCCGCAGCUUCCAUUGCGUAGUAGCUAACACCUCGCAACUGGAGAGCGGCGCGGCCACGCCGUAAAACACCCAACUUCUGAAUGUUGACCUCGAAUCAGGUAGGAAUACCCGCUGAACUUAAGCAUAUCAAUAA